rnacentral:rRNA from 1 species
GACGAACGCUGGCGGCGUGGAUUAGGCAUGCAAGUCGAACGGUAUCAUCCUUUCGGGGGUGAGAGAGUGGCGAACUGGUGAGUAACACGUAGGUUAUCUACCCUCAAGACGGGGACAACCCAGGGAAACUUGGGCUAAUACCGGAUGUGAGCAACUUUUAGUUGUUUGAAAGGUGGCGUAAGCUGUCGCUUGGGGAUGAGCCUGCGUCCUAUUAGUUAGUUGGUGAGGUAACGGCUCACCUAGGCAAUGAUAGGUAGGCGGCCUUAACGGGUGGUCGCCCACACUGGGAUUGAGAUACGGCCCAGACUCCUACGGGAGGCAGCAGUCGAGAAUAGUCUACAAUGGUCGGAAGACUGAUAGUGCGACGCCGCGUGAACGAUGAAUCCCUUCGGGGUUAAAGUUCUUUUAUAUGUGAGCAGUGCUUCUUAUAUUAACAGUAUGGGGAAGAGAUAUUAGCAUAUAGAAUAAGCAACGGCUAACUCCGUGCCAGCAGCCGCGGUAA